rnacentral:rRNA from 1 species
CCUACACAUGCAGUCGAGCGGGAUGGAUUAGUUUAGUUUACUAAACUGAGACAUUCAGCGGCGGACGGGUGAGUAACGCGUGAGCAAUCUGCCUUGUACAGGGGGAUAACAGCCGGAAACGGCUGCUAAUACCGCAUAAGGCCACAGUACCGCAUGGUACAGGGGUCAAAGGAGAGAUCCGGUAUAAGAUGAGCUCGCGUUCCAUUAGCUGGUUGGUGAGGUAACAGCCCACCAAGGCAACGAUGGGUAGCCGGCCUGAGAGGGUGAACGGCCACAUUGGGACUGAGACACGGCCCAAACUCCUACGGGAGGCAGCAGUGGGGGAUAUUGCGCAAUGGGGGGAACCCUGACGCAGCAACGCCGCGUGAGUGAAGGAGGCCUUCGGGUCGUAAAACUCUGUGACAGGGGAAGAAGAAAGUGACGGUACCCUGAGAGGAAGCCCCGGCUAACUACGUGCCAGCAGCCGCGGUAACACGUAGGGGGCGAGCGUUGUCCGGAAUUACUGGGCGUAAAGGGUGCGUAGGCGGCCAGACAAGUCCGAUGUGAAAUACCAUGGCUAAACUGUGGGGGUGCAUAGGAAACUGUCUGGCUUGAGUGCAGGAGAGGGAAGUGGAAUUCCUAGUGUAGCGGUGAAAUGCGUAGAGAUUAGGAAGAACACCAGUGGCGAAGGCGACUUUCUGGACUGUAACUGACGCUGAGGCACGAAAGCGUGGGGAGCGAACAGGAUUAGAUACCC